AUCAAAAAAGUUAAAUUGGUUUAACGAAGAAUCUAAAAUUCUUUUGAUUAAGGUUCGAUUCCUUUUUUUGAUU
rnacentral:tRNA from 1 species